GGUAAGCCAAAAUACAUUUCACAUUUCUAGACUUUUAGUAAAUUACAAAGCAUGUUUCCAACUAUGCCACAUUCCUUUGAUGGGUGAUUUUGUUCUUACUUAAAAAUGAUGAGGACAUCGGGGCCCAAAGAGUUCAGAGAUUUCCCCACAGUCACAGAUCUAGUUAGUGCCAGAUCCAAGGCUGUACAGGGAAAGAAAAGAAUUGAUGCUUCUUUUUGCUCUACUUCCUGGGAAAUUCUCACAUUAACACUGGCUCAGUGAGUAAUGAAUAGAUUCUUUCAGAAAUAGAGUUGUCACAGUCUGACCUAAGUUAGCAAGCUUUUCAUUUUGCUUAGACAAAGAAAACAAAAUGUUAGGCUGGCUUCUCAGCCUGAGGGCCUUGGAGUGAAGGAAGCUUUCUAUAGCGGGGAU
rnacentral:lncRNA from 10 species